rnacentral:rRNA from 1 species
AGUGAACGCUGGCGGUAGGCCUAACACAUGCAAGUCGAACGGCAGCACAGUAAGAGCUUGCUCUUACGGGUGGCGAGUGGCGGACGGGGGGGGAAUACAUCGGAAUCUACUUUUUCGUGGGGGAUAACGUAGGGAAACUUACGCUAAUACCGCAUACGACCUACGGGUGAAAGCAGGGGAUCUUCGGACCUUGCGCGAUUGAAUGAGCCGAUGUCGGAUUAGCUAGUUGGCGGGGUAAAGGCCCUCCAAGGCGACGAUCCGUAGCUGGUCUGAGAGGAUGAUCAGCCACACUGGAACUGAGACACGGUCCAGACUCCUACGGGAGGCAGCAGUGGGGAAUAUUGGACAAUGGGCGCAAGCCUGAUCCAGCCAUACCGCGUGGGUGAAGAAGGCCUUCGGGUUGUAAAGCCCUUUUGUUGGGAAAGAAAAGCAGCAGGUUAAUACCCCGCUGUUCUGACGGUACCCAAAGAAUAAGCACCGGCUAACUUCGUG